rnacentral:rRNA from 1 species
GACGAACGCUGGCGGCGUGCCUAAUACAUGCAAGUAGGACGCAGAUGCGAACGGGGGAGUAACGCGUAGGUAACUACCUAUUAGAGGGGGCUAACUAUUGGAAACGAUAGCUAAUACCGAAUACUAGUAGAUGGAACUGAGUUGUAUUAGGUAGUAGGUAGGGUAAUGGCAUACCUAGGCAACGAUACAUAGUCGACCUGGGAGGGUGUUCGGCCCCACUGGGACUGAGAAACGGCCCAAACUCCUACGGGAGGCAACAGUAGGGAAUUAUCGGCAAUUGGGGGAACCCUUACCGAGCAACUCCGCGUGAGUUAAGAAGGUUUUCGGAUCGUAAAGCUCUGUUGUUAAGGAAGCGGUACUUAACCAAAAAGGGACGGCUAACUACGUGCCAGCAGCCGCGGUAAUAC